CAAAUUAAGUGAACAAAUACUCAAAUAAUUAUUUUAAUAAAUAAAUAACAAUUUUAAAAAAAAGGGGCCGAUAUUUUUUAGACAAAGCAUUAAGUACUGCAUUAAUAGAUUGCAGAAGAAAUCAUACCCUCUGACACAAUUGAUAUCAUUACUGACAAACAAUAUUAUUAGGAGAUACAUGUGGCCACUUGCAUCUUAUAUACAAAUCACUUUCUUCACUUUCUUAUAUACGCCACUUUCUUUUAUGUACAUGUACUCCUAUAUAAAUUACUUUCUUCACUAUAACACAUCACCAUCAGCAUGUCCUAAGUUCUCUUCACAAACCCCACAUAAACAUUUACUCCACAAUCAUUCUUCCAACAAAGCUGAAGUAAGAGGAGAAAGCAAAUUCAACAACUCCUUUUCACAAUUAAACAAAAGAUAUCUCCGUGAGUUAAAGGUGAAGUCAGGAAAAUUCAAGUUAAGGAGUUUUAAGCGAACGAGGUUGAGCAGCGAAGUGGUGGAAAAAGUGCUAUUGAGACAAGACAUUUAAU